rnacentral:rRNA from 1 species
UACGGGGGGGGCAAGCGUUGUUCGGAAUUACUGGGCGUAAAGGGCUCGUAGGCGGCCAACUAAGUCCGACGUGAAAUCCCAAGGCUUAACCUUGGAACUGCGUCGGAUACUGGAUGGCUUGAAUUCGGGAGAGGGAUGCAGAAUUCCAGGUGUAGCGGUGAAAUGCGUAGAUAUCUGGAGGAAUACCGGUGGCGAAGGCGGCAUCCUGGACCGACAUUGACGCUGAGGAGCGAAAGCGAGGGGAGCAGAGGAG